UACGUAGGGUGCGAGCGUUAAUCGGAAUUAUUGGGCGUAAAGAGCUCGUAGGCGGUCUGUCGCGUCUGCUGUGAAAACUCGGGGCUUAACCCCGGGCCUGCAGUGGGUACGGGCAGACUAGAGUGCGGUAGGGGAGACUGGAAUUCCUGGUGUAGCGGUGAAAUGCGCAGAUAUCAGGAGGAACACCGGUGGCGAAGGCGGGUCUCUGGUCCGUAACUGACGCUGAGGAGCGAAAGCGUGGGGAGCGAACAGG
rnacentral:rRNA from 1 species